GCCUACUGUUUAAUUUUGAAAGUUCUUUACGAACUUUAUAUAUGGGGGUGUAGCUCAGUUGGGAGAGCACUUGCCUUGCAAGCAAGGGGUCAGGAGUUCGACUCUCCUCAUCUCCACCAUUUAAGAGUAUAUUACUUAAAUCUUUGAUUUACUUAGUAGCCUCUUACAAUGCACUUAUAGCUUAAAUUUAUACAAGCUUUGUGUGUUAGCACUUUAAGUAACGGAAUAAUCUGAGUGAAUACGAAGGUUGUUCGUUGACGUGGUGCGUUAGCACUUUGAAAACUGCAUAUAUAUUUAGUGAUAUGACAUCUAAUUUGUAAUAUAUAAAGCUGAUAACUUUUUAAAAUUAUCGAAGUUGAUAGCUUCUAAUCUAUCAAACCUUUUUAACUGGUCAA
rnacentral:tRNA from 1 species